rnacentral:tRNA from 1 species
GUGGGUAUAGCCUAGUUGGUUAGGGAGCCAGAUUGUGGCUCUGGAGAUCGAGGGUUCGACUCCCUUCACCCGCUCCA